AUUGAACGCUGGCGGCAUGCCUAACACAUGCAAGUCGAACGAGUGGCGGACGGGUGAGUAAUGUAUGGGCAACUGCCUGAUGGAGGGGGCUAAGUACUGGAAACGGUAGAUAAUACCGCAUACCAUCGGAUGUGCCCACAGGGGAUUAGCUAGUGGGUGGGGUAAAGGCUCACCUAGGCGACGAUCCCUAGCUGGUCUGAGAGGAUGACCGGCCACACUGGAACUGAGACACGGCCCAGACUCCUACGGGAGGCAGCAGUGGGGAAUCUUGGGCAAUGGGCGCAAGCCUGAUACAGCCAUGCCGCGUGUAUGAAGAAGGCCUUCGGGUUGUAAAGUACUUUUGGCGGGGAAGCGGUACCCGCAGAAGAAGCACCGGCUAACUCCGUGCCAGCAGCCGCGGUAAUUC
rnacentral:rRNA from 1 species